UAUGAUUGAAAAUGCAUCGAUAUAUGGUUGACCGGGAAAUAUGAUUGAAAAAGCAUUGAUAUAUAGUCCUAGUUGACCGGGAAAUAUGAUUGAAAAUGCAUCGAGAUAUAGUUGACCGGGAAAAAUGAUUGAAAAUCCAUCGAUAUUUGGUUGACCGGGAGAUCAUCGGGUGGUAGACCAACGUACUUCACCGGACACAUCUCAUUUCUGGACCCUUGACCCAUACGAUCAGAUCACUAUUGCACACAAAACAAACCAGCAACCCAACAAGCCAGUCAGGACAGCCAACCAUCACCUCCAAAGAUGCAUUAUAGCCUCCAACGCCCCAAUUUCCCUAAGUCAACUAACCCCAAUGUCCCUAUCCCAAUAUCAUUCCCAGGAGAUUAAUUGGCCUACCCUCCACCCGGUCCAAUGCCUCAAUUCCAGAGGCCAUCUCCUGAAGGUAUGUUUUUAAAAAGAAGUAAUUCAUGUCAAUUCAAACAUCCAAAACAACUGCAGUAUAUCCAGUCAAAUGGUUUAAUUUCUCUCUUCAUACUUGUUACAGAUUCUCCAGGCACUGCCAGAAUGGCAUUAAAAGGCAAGUACAGGAAUGUUAUGUUCUAAGGCUAUUUCUAGGCUUUCAUUCAUGUGUAAAUCUUUCCUCAAUUCUUUGAAUCAUUGAAGGAUGUACCAUCUAUCAACAAUUAGCUUAAACCAAUGGCAUUGCUUA